rnacentral:rRNA from 1 species
AUUGAACGCUGGCGGCAGGCCUAACACAUGCAAGUCGAGCGGAUGAAGGGAGCUUGCUCCUGGAUUCAGCGGCGGACGGGUGAGUAAUGCCUAGGAAUCUGCCUGGUAGUGGGGGAUAACGUCCGGAAACGGGCGCUAAUACCGCAUACGUCCUGAGGGAGAAAGUGGGGGAUCUUCGGACCUCACGCUAUCAGAUGAGCCUAGGUCGGAUUAGCUAGUUGGUGGGGUAAAGGCCUACCAAGGCGACGAUCCGUAACUGGUCUGAGAGGAUGAUCAGUCACACUAGAACUGAGACACGGUCCAGACUCCUACGGGAGGCAGCAGUGGGGAAUAUUGGACAAUGGGCGAAAGCCUGAUCCAUCCAUGCCGCGUGUGUGAAGAAGGUCUUCGGAUUGUAAAGCACUUUAAGUUGGGAGGAAGGGCAGUAAGUUAAUACCUUGCUGUUUUGACGUUACCAACAGAAUAAGCACCGGCUAACUUCGUG